AACGAACGCUGGCGGCAUGCCUAACACAUGCAAGUCGAACGAGAUCUUCGGGUCUAGUGGCGCACGGGUGCGUAACGCGUGGGAAUCUGCCCUUUGGUUCGGAAUAACAGUUGGAAACGACUGCUAAUACCGGAUGAUGACGAAAGUCCAAAGAUUUAUCGCCAGAGGAUGAGCCCGCGUAGGAUUAGCUAGUUGGUGUGGUAAAGGCGCACCAAGGCGACGAUCCUUAGCUGGUCUGAGAGGAUGAUUAGCCACACUAGGACUGAGCCACGGCCCAGACUCCUACGGGGGGCAGCAGUGGGGAAUAUUGGACAAUGGGCGAAAGCCUGAUCCAGCAACGCCGCGUGAGUGAUGAAGGCCUUAGGGUUGUAAAGCUCUUUUACCCGGGAUGAUAAUGACAGUACCGGGAGAAUAAGCUCCGGCUAACUCCGUGCCAGCCGCCGCGGUAA
rnacentral:rRNA from 1 species